GGAUGUGAGGGCGAUCUGGCUUCAACAUCUGUCACCCCACUGAUCGCCAGGGUUGAUUUGGUUGAUCUGGCUGGCUAGGCAAGUGUCCCCUUCCUCCCUCACUGCUCCAUGUGUGUCCUUCCCAAAGCUGCAUGCUCGGUUGAAGAAGACGACCAUCCCCGAUAAAUUAGGACCAGUCUUCAGUCAAAGGUUCAUGAGUAGCUACACUCCCCUGCUAGAACCUCCAAACAAGCUCUCAAGAAAGCAUUUAUACAUACAUACAUAUAUAUAUAUAUAUAUAUAUAUAUAUAU
rnacentral:snRNA from 1 species